rnacentral:rRNA from 1 species
CCUACGGGAGGCUGCAGUGAGGAAUAUUGGUCAAUGGGCGCGAGCCUGAACCAGCCAAGUCGCGUGAGGGAGGACGGCCCUACGGGUUGUACACCUCUUUUGCCGGGGAGCAACGGGCGCCACGUGUGGCGUCACUGAGAGUACCCGGAGAAAAAGCAUACGCUAACUCCGGUCCAGCAGCCGCGGUAAUACGGAGCAUGCGAGCGAUAUCCGGUAUUGUUGGGUUUAAGGGGUGCGCAGGCGGCGUGUCAAGUCAGCGGUAAAAUGUCGGGGCGCAACCCCGGCCGGCCGUUGAAACUGGCGUGCUCGAGUGGGAGAGAAGUAUGCGGAAGUCGUGGUGUAGCGGUGAAAUGCAUAGAUAUCACGAAGAACCCCGAUUGCGAAGGCAGCAUACCGGCUCCAAACUGACGCUGAGGCACGAAAGCGUGGGUAUCGAACAGGAUUAGAUACCCGAGUAGUC